AUUGAACGCUGGCGGCAGGCCUAACACAUGCAAGUCGAGCGGAUGACGGGAGCUUGCUCCUUGAUUCAGCGGCGGACGGGUGAGUAAUGCCUAGGAAUCUGCCUGGUAGGGGGGGACAACGUUUCGAAAGGAACGCUAAUACCGCAUACGUCCUACGGGAGAAAGCAGGGGACCUUCGGGCCUUGCGCUAUCAGAUGAGCCUAGGUCGGAUUAGCUUGUUGGUGAGGUAAUGGCUCACCAAGGCGACGAUCCGUAACUGGUCUGAGAGGAUGAUCAGUCACACUGGAACUGAGACACGGUCCAGACUCCUACGGGAGGCAGCAGUGGGGAAUAUUGGACAAUGGGCGAAAGCCUGAUCCAGCCAUGCCGCGUGUGUGAAGAAGGUCUUCGGAUUGUAAAGCACUUUAAGUUGGGAGGAAGGGUUGUAGAUUAAUACUCUGCAAUUUUGACGUUACCGACAGAAUAAGCACCGGCUAACUCUGUGCCAGCAGCCGCAGUAA
rnacentral:rRNA from 1 species